GACGAACGCUGGCGGCGUGCUUAACACAUGCAAGUCGAACGAGUGGCGAACGGGUGAGUAAUACGUGAGUAACCUGCCCUCUUUUUGGGAUAAGCCUUGGAAACGGGGCCUAAUACCGGAUAAAGGGGGAUGGGCUCGCGGCCUAUCAGCUUGUUGGUGGGGUGAUGGCCUACCAAUGCGGUGACGGGUAGCCGACCUGAGAAGGUGGACGGCCGCGUUGUGGCUGUGGUACGGCCCAGACUCCCACAGGAGGCAUCAGUGGGGUAUAUUGCAAAAUGGGAGAAUGCGUGAUGCAGCGACGGCGCGUGGGGGAUUAUGGCUUUCGGGUUGUAAACCUGUUACGCUAUCGAACGGGUAGGUGGUGAGGAAGCGCCAGCUAACUACGUUCCAGCUGCCGCGGUAAUAC
rnacentral:rRNA from 1 species